rnacentral:rRNA from 1 species
UACGGAGGGGGCGAGCGUUGUUCGGAUUUACUGGGCGUAAAGGGCGCGUAGGUGGUUUCCCAAGUUGGGAGUGAAAGCCCAGGGCUUAACCCUGGAAUUGCUCUCAAAACUGGGUCACUAGAAUCUGGGAGAGGUGAACGGAAUUCCGAGUGUAGAGGUGAAAUUCGUAGAUAUUCGGAGGAACAUCGAUGGCGAAAGCAGUUCACUGGACCAGUAUUGACACUGAGGCACGAAAGCGUGGGUAGCAAACAGG